rnacentral:rRNA from 1 species
CCUACGGGAUGCAGCAGUGGGGAAUAUUUCACAAUGGGGGAAACCCUGAUGCAGCGACGCCGCGUGAGUGAAGAAGUAUUUCGGUACGUAAAGCUCUAUCAGCAGGGAAGAAAAUGACGGUACCUGACUAAGAAGCCCCGGCUAACUACGUGCCAGCAGCCGCGGUAAUACGUAGGGGGCAAGCGUUAUCCGGAUUUACUGGGUGUAAAGGGAGCGUAGACGGCAGCGCAAGUCUGGAGUGAAAUCCCAUGGCUUAACCAUGGAACUGCUUUGGAAACUGUGCAGCUAGAGUGCAGGAGAGGUAAGCGGAAUUCCUAGUGUAGCGGUGAAAUGCGUAGAUAUUAGGAGGAACACCAGUGGCGAAGGCGGCUUACUGGACUGUAACUGACGUUGAGGCUCGAAAGCGUGGGGAGCAAACAGGAUUAGAUACCCCUGUAGUC